rnacentral:rRNA from 1 species
CAGUCGCCGCGGAAUACGUAGGUGGCAAGCGUUGUCCGGAAUUAUUGGGCGUAAAGGGCUCGCAGGCGGUUUCUUAAGUCUGAUGUGAAAGCCCCCGGCUCAACCGGGGAGGGUCAUUGGAAACUGGGAGACUUGAGUGCAGAAGAGGAGAGUGGAAUUCCACGUGUAGCGGUGAAAUGCGUAGAGAUGUGGAGGAACACCAGUGGCGAAGGCGACUCUCUGGUCUGUAACUGACGCUGAGGAGCGAAAGCGUGGGGAGCGAACAGGAUUAGAUACCCCGGUAGUCCCUGUCUCUUAUACA